rnacentral:rRNA from 1 species
UACGUAGGGGGCGAGCGUUGUCCGGAUUUAUUGGGCGUAAAGAGCGUGUAGGCGGUUCGGUAAGUCUGUCGUGAAAUCCUGAGGCUCAACCUCGGGCGUGCGAUGGAUACUGCCGGGCUAGAGGAUGGUAGAGGCGAGUGGAAUUCCCGGUGUAGCGGUGAAAUGCGUAGAGAUGUGGAGGAACACCGAUGGCGAAGGCAGCCCCCUGGGCUAACACUGACGCUCAUGCACGAAAGCGUGGGGAGCAAACAGG